GAUGAAGAACGUAGCAAAAUGCGAUAAGUAGUGUGAAUUGCAGAAUUCAGUGAAUCAUCGAAUCUUUGAACGCACAUUGCGCCCCUUGGUAUUCCAUGGGGCAUGCCUGUUCGAGCGUCAUAUAUACCCUCAAGCUCUGCUUGGUGUUGGGUGUUUGUCAACUGACUCACCUUAAAGUGACUGGCUAUUGGUAUAGAUAGAUCAAGUGCAGUACAUCUCGCGCUGUUCUUUCGCUAUCACGGCCACACAAACCUAUAAUUUGACCUCGGAUCAGGUAGGGAUACCCGCUGAACUUAAGCAUAUCAAUAAGCGGAGGA
rnacentral:misc_RNA from 1 species